GUACCACGGAGGUGCCUGUGGUACCUUCCCGUAAACAUAGGCCAUGGGUUCAAGGGAAAUAUGUCAAAGCCCUGGGCAGAGUGGGAGGGAUGGAGAACUGUCUUCUCCAAAGUCCCAGGGACACAGGCUGAGACAAGUGGCAGAGGCCCUGGGUCCCUGAGUAACGAAGGUGAACUGAGGCCCAAAUGGUUCUCCUGAGGAUGUUGGCAAAGGCAACCUAGGUGGCUCCAAGCUGGCAAUCACGGGAAAGGGACCCCGAACACACAUACUCACAGUCCUUAGAAUGCAGGAGAAAAUGAUUUUAUUGCUGUGAACAGGUGCAAGGAAGCUUGGCCGAAGGUGCAAGAGGAAAACCAUGGGGCCUGGGCCGUUCUUGGCCCUCUGCCCUAUUGCCUUCCUUCCAAUCACACAGAGCUCCCAAUCUGAAAAGCAUCCAAAGUCUGCUGUCCCUUACUCUCGUCUCACAUCUUGGCCCUUUACUUAUUUCUUCUAUGGGAACCAUGGGAAUCAACAAAGGAAAGAGAAAGCAGAGACAUCAUGAGAGAGCCUGGCCCAGGGGGAGGGACCGCAAUGGCCACCUUGGUCUUAACCGAAGUGUGUAGGACCCAGCGGGACGGUGUCGUCUAAGUGGACGGGAAGCAGAAGAUUGGGAGGGUAGCCUGGCUGCGAGUUGUUACAGGCAACAAUGUAGAACUGGUUCUGGUACGUAGUACGGUAGGUGCACUGGGGCCGGCGCCCAGUGAGAAGGCAGUAGGUCAUGUUCACCCUCCCUGCGCUCUUGUGGCAGUUUUCCCCACUGGUGGUACAGUUCAUGUUGGGCUGUUGACAGGUAGCGAGCACGUUUUCGAGGACUCAACCAGAAAGGUGUUUUUCCCCUUAUAUCUGGGAAGCAGAUUAUUGAUCCGAGGCAUUUCAGUUCUGCAUUGCACCUGAUUCGCUCUUAAGUGCUGGGUGUUAAACCACUGAAGGGCGGUGAAGCCUGGAGGCCGAGCAGCAGCUGGAGGCACCGGCCCCCAUGAUCCCAGCAGCAGCAGGAGCAGAGGCCACGGCCCCGGGGGGACACAGCAUCAUCCCUCUGGGCAGGAGGAGGAAGGAAAAUGAGGGAAUCACAGUGGUCAGAGCAAUAGGAACAAAAUGAUCCUUCCCAGCCAUUAGGUGCUUAUUGUGCCUUUAAGGUUUCCUUGCUCCUUUCUUGAUCUUCAUUUUAUUUCAUUCUUUUUUAUGCCUUUAUUCUUGGUUUCAGAGUGAGCAAGACAGCGGGUCAGAGAGCACCCAAGGGAUGGGGGCCGAGGGGGGCUGAGAGGCACACUCGCCUCCGAGCGGGACCCCACAGCGGGGCUCUGACGGGCUCGGGCUCAGCCCCCCCCCCCCCCCGCAGAGGCAGGCGCUCUCCCGGGGCUCCCCGGGGGUCACGGGGGGUCACCGGCUGGUGGUCGUCACCUCAACUGCCUGCUGCCUUGAGUGUCUGGGUCCCGGAGGUCCUGAGCCCCGCGCGAGGAGGAACAGGAGCAGACUCCUGUGAUGGGCUAUCCCAUGGGGCCACUAACAUCUGGAAUUUUGCCAGUCGACCUCUACUUGAAGACAAAUUACUCUGAGAUCACCAGGCCUAGCUGGUAGGUUGUCUCAGAUUACACACCAUCAAUCCAACUACUUUCUAGUGUUUUGGGGUAAAGAAGAAGAAUAAAAAGACAGGAAUUCUGGGCACCUAGGUUUGAAGGACUUGAAAGAUGGCUUUGAGAAAAAUUAAGAUGGCCUUAUAUAUAUAUACAGACCUUCCUAACAAGUUCAUGUGAUCCACGGAAGACCUAAAUCAGGAUAAUGAUUCUGUGAAAGUAGAGGGAGGAGACGAGGAGAACUAUGGGGGCUCCCGUGUGGAGGGGCAAGCUCAGAAAGAGAUCCACGGUUUUGCAAGGCAUCACAUCUUACUAUACUUUGGGACUUGAGUGGGUAAUUUUGAGAAUUAUAGGAAGCAAUGCAUGUGAAAAUAUGUUUUUAAACAAUAAAGUGUUAUGUCGAUAUAAAUUGCCCGUAAUAUCAUCAUAAGCUUGUUCUACCCCAGUCAUUUCAGUUUGAACUAGUUAAUCCAGUGUUUCUGGAAUAAGUGUGAUAGUCUACUUUUGAUGUGGAAGACAAAUUGCUGCGAACCCCCAGCCAUACAUCCAUACCUUCAACUGUGAGCUAAGCAAAAAGCUCUACGGCUUCUCUGAAAUAAAGCCAGUUAAUUAGGAAGCACCUUAAACUGAACUAUAGAAACAUAUCCCUUUAUACCUGCAGAGAUCAAGCAAGUACAAAGCAGCACAGAAAAGUGAGUUAACCAUUGUUCCUGGAGCCGUUUGUUUGGUCUGCUUCCUAGAGUUCUGUCUCCUCACUUCUCUAACAGAAGCUGUUCGGGUUGUGGCUCCUAAUUUGAGUUCCUAAAGAGAUAUUAUCUUUUAAAUACAAAUUUAAAGUCAUUUGUUGAUUAUAUUCUUUAUUUAAACAUUUUCCGUGACUUUAACUUCUUCCUAUUAAUUCCUUAGGAUUUCCCUUUGUUAACCACUAUUCAGUGUUUUGGUACAAUCAUUUCUCAAACCGUAACAGUGAUAAAUGUCCUCAGGCAGAUGAUGAUAACAUAUUAGGGUGUCUUACCCUGGACUCCAUGGGCUUCCAAGGAUUCCAUGGAUGGAAUUUAUAGGGUCCAUGAACUGGCAUGGGGUGUUAACCUCAAAAAAUAAAACUAGCAGUUAUUUUACCAGCAAAAAUGAGCUUAUUCGGGAAUAGCAGAGAAUUGUAAUCAGGGAUAAGCAGGCUACUAUGGCAAAACUAUAGGCGAGUCCCUGAACAAAGGAGGGGAACUUUUUCUUUUCUAGAGGAAAGGAAGAAGUACGGAAAGCUGUUAUAAACUGAAAGUCCGCUGGCGUUCCCUGGGAGUUGGAAGGAUAGUAGCUUUCUGUUGGCUGGGUUGUGACCGGCUCAAUAGGCUGGGCUGUUGGGGAGCCGGGUGGAGAAGCCCACCUUCCUGCUGGGAUAGUAGAGCAGCAGGACUUGCCAAGUAGUCUUUUCCUGUUGGAUCUGCAGUUGGUAUGAGUGGUAGGGCAUCAAAGUGCCCCCUGCUGGCCUCCACAGCCCUUCUAAACUAGGUUUCCUUUUAUUAAUUUUCACAGGGAAAUAAUGUUAACAUCUGUAUUUUCACUAACUUGCAACUGAAAUGUAACAAUUCCUUCAUUUUGGGGGGCACCUGGCAGGCUCAGUCGGAAGAGUAUGUGACUCUUGAUCUUGGGGUCAUGAGUUCAAGCCCCACAUGGGGUGUAGA